AGAAAGUUUAAAAAAACAAACACAAGAAUGGAAUGAAGAAGCAAAGAAGUACUUAGAUUAUCUUAUGGAUAUUCUGACAUCAAUUCAAAAAGACUCUACAGAACUUAAUAUUACUACAUGGUGCAAUAAAUAUAUCACUGAACUCAUUGAAAGCAAAAAUAUUAAUGUUCUAACAUUUGCACCAUAGAAGACCACUCAAACUGAAUAUAUCAACUCCACACAAGAAAAUAUCAAGACCAUCGA
rnacentral:lncRNA from 1 species